rnacentral:rRNA from 1 species
UACGUAUGGAGCGAGCGUUGUCCGGAAUUAUUGGGCGUAAAGGGUACGCAGGCGGUUUAAUAAGUCGAAUGUUAAAGAUCGGGGCUCAACCCCGUAAAGCAUUGGAAACUGAUAAACUUGAGUAGUGGAGAGGAAAGUGGAAUUCCUAGUGUAGUGGUGAAAUACGUAGAUAUUAGGAGGAAUACCAGUAGCGAAGGCGACUUUCUGGACACAAACUGACGCUGAGGUACGAAAGCGUGGGGAGCAAACAGGAUUAGAUACCCUGGUAGUCAAGGCG